rnacentral:rRNA from 1 species
GGCCAGACUCCUACGGGAGGCAGCAGUGGGGGAUAUUGCACAAUGGGGGGAACCCUGAUGCAGCGACGCCGCGUGGGUGAAGAAGUAUUUCGGUAUGUAAAGCCCUAUCGGCAGGGAAGAAUUUAGACGGUACCUGACUAAGAAGCCCCGGCUAACUACGGGCCAGCAGCCGCGGUAAUACGUAGGGGGCAAGCGUUAUCCGGAUUUACUGGGUGUAAAGGGAGCGUAGACGGCGAUGCAAGCCAGAUGUGAAAGCCCGGGGCUCAACCCCGGGACUGCAUUUGGAACUGUGUGGCUGGAGUGUCGGAGAGGCAGGCGGAAUUCCUAGUGUAGCGGUGAAAUGCGUAGAUAUUAGGAGGAACACCAGUGGCGAAGGCGGCCUGCUGGACGAUGACUGACGUUGAGGCUCGAAAGCGUGGGGAGCAAACAGGAUUAGAUACCCUCGUA